ACUCCUACGGGAGGCAGCAGUGGGGAAUAUUGCACAAUGGGCGCAAGCCUGAUGCAGCCAUGCCGCGUGUAUGAAGAAGGCCUUCGGGUUGUAAAGUACUUUCAGCAGUGAGGAAGGCAGGUACGUUAAUAGCGUGCUUGUUUGACGUUAGCUGCAGAAGAAGCACCGGCUAACUCCGUGCCAGCAGCCGCGGUAAUACGGAGGGUGCGAGCGUUAAUCGGAAUUACUGGGCGUAAAGCGCAUGCAGGCGGCCUGUUAAGUCAGAUGUGAAAGCCCGGGGCUCAACCUCGGAAUUGCAUUUGAAACUGGCAGACUAGAGUACUGUAGAGGGGGGUAGAAUUUCAGGUGUAGCGGUGAAAUGCGUAGAGAUCUGAAGGAAUACCGGUGGCGAAGGCGGCCCCCUGGACAGAUACUGACACUCAGAUGCGAAAGCUGGGGAGCAAACAGGAUUAGAUACCCUGGUA
rnacentral:rRNA from 1 species